UUGAGGAAUAUUGGACAAUGGGCGCAAGCCUGAUCCAGCCAUGCCGCGUGCAGGAAGACGCAUCUAUGGUGUGUAAACUGCUUUUGUACGGGAAGAAACACUCCCUCGUGAGGGAGCUUGACGGUACCGUAAGAAUAAGGAUCGGCUAACUCCGUGCCAGCAGCCGCGGUAAUACGGAGGAUCCAAGCGUUAUCCGGAAUCAUUGGGUUUAAAGGGUCCGUAGGCGGUUUAAUAAGUCAGUGGUGAAAGCCCAUCGCUCAACGAUGGAACGGCCAUUGAUACUGUUAGACUUGAAUUACAAGGAAGUAACUAGAAUAUGUAGUGUAGCGGUGAAAUGCUUAGAUAUUACAUGGAAUACCAAUUGCGAAGGCAGGUUACUACUUGUGGAUUGACGCUGAUGGACGAAAGCGUGGGGAGCGAACAGGAUUAGAAACCCUGGUAGUCC
rnacentral:rRNA from 1 species